GGGGGUCUAGCUCAUCUGGUAGAGCAUGUGCUUCGCAGUAGUGGAAUUGCACAAGGCACUGGGUUCGAUUCCCAGGUCCUCCA